rnacentral:rRNA from 1 species
UGAGGAAUAUUGGUCAAUGGGCGCAAGCCUGAACCAGCCAAGUCGCGUGAAGGAAGACGGCCCUAUGGGUUGUAAACUUCUUUAGGGUGGGAACAAAGGACGCCACGCGUGGCGAGAUGAGUGUACCACCAGAAUAAGCAUCGGCUAACUCCGUGCCAGCAGCCGCGGUAAUACGGAGGAUGCGAGCGUUAUCCGGAUUUAUUGGGUUUAAAGGUGCGUAGGCGGGAUGUUAAGUCAGCGGUGAAAGUUUGCGGCUCAACCGUAAAAUUGCCGUUGAAACUGGCGUUCUUGAGUGUAAACGAGGUAGGCGGAAUGUGACGUGUAGCGGUGAAAUGCUUAGAUAUGUCACAGAACCCCGAUUGCGAAGGCAGCUUACCAGCAUACAACUGACGCUGAGGCACGAAAGCGUGGGUAUCAAACAGGAUUAGAUACCCUGGUAGU